UCAAUCACUGCUCCGCAGCGUUUUUCGAUUAUGCAACUUAAAAAGAAAUGAAUGAAAGUUGAUGUAAGUGGGGCGAAAAUAUACGACGAAAUUUUGGCUGAAAUCACGACUUGGUUAUUUUCCAGACUAAAUUAAUAAUCUUUUGCCGAUUUCCAUCAGAGGAAUGUAAAAACACAAACACAUACGUAUAUUUGUAUGUAGCUAGAUUAGUCAAGGCCGGAAUAGCUUCUCAUCUGUUCAAUCAAGGUCAACUUUCGGCUAAACAACAACACUUUGUUGUUGUUUUACGUGGGAGGAGAGAUUUAGCCUUUUAUUUAUUUAUUUACUUCUCUCCCCCAGAUGAGGGCAAUGUCUAAUUUCUUGGUGCCAAAGUAUUAUCGAAAGGAUUUGAGCAUAAACUGCUCGACUUUGUAACGUAUACAAAGAGGGGAAGACACGGUUCGUUGAUUGACUAAGAAACGAAUUUUAAAAUAAACUUGUACUUCGACCUUCCAACAGAGAAAUCUAGAAAUUCAAUGGCAUUUUUUCUUAACAACAGUUCCUUCCUGUCUCUCAUUGGUUUAUAUCGUAAGUGAAGACAUCUGUUAAGAAAGAAACUUGUUCCUCUUUAACCAAGAGCCUAAAACAGAGAUUUUGCAUGAUGUUAAAUUAUACCAUUUCAUUAGAAAACGGUUACAUGUACCAAUUCCAGUUCGAGGCUUCGACGGUGAUCCUCGUAUUCGUUAUAGUCGUUUGCACCUGCCUCUUCUUUAUAACGUGUUGCUGUCAAUUCCACACUUGGUGUUCAAGAUGUCAACAACAAAAAGAGACAGUGAGACACACCAAGAACCUUCGUAAAAAUUGUAGAAAACUCAAGAGAAAAUGGAAUAUCUUCUGACAGCUGACAGAUACAUACAUCCACCAUACACACACACACACAUAUAUAUAUAUAUAUAAAUGAAUUCUUUGAAAUACCUAUUUGUAUGUAUAAAUGUAAAACUGAGUCCAAGCAAGAAGUCAAUACUUAGAGUUAUUUAUUCUGAAAUCAUCAGACAGCUGAUAAUACUUGACACUUGCUUGCAUAUAGACUCUGAUUUAAGCCAAAAAAAAAUAUAGCAUGGAUGAUAGACUCCACACACACAUUGGAAUAUCAAUGUAUAAAAGCAUCAUAAAAUAUUCAUACAAAGCCCUUUGUGUAAAUAUAUAUAUUUGCAGAAUUAUAUAAAAAUUAACAAAUGGUCAACAGAAAAAUGUCCUGUUGUCUUUUGUAUAUCUUUUACCUUUUACUGGUUUUGGCCAUGCUGGGGCAUCAUCUUGAAAGGUUUGGCUGGACACAUUGACCUGAGAACUUAUUUCUUUUAAGCUUGGUAUUUAUUACAUUGGUGUCCUUUGCUGAACUGCUAAGUUAUGUUGGUGAUGGGGUGGAGAUAAACACAUUGACACACACACACAUAUGUAUAUGCAGUAGUUAACUUCUUUGUCCCCUCAAAAGAAUGCUGGCCUUGUGCCAAAGUGACAAUAAAAGUGACAAGCUGACAAAACCAUUAUUGCAGACAGCAUUUUUU